AAGGCCUUUUCUGAGCUGAGAAGGGGGGGAGGGGAGAGGGGGAGGGGUUAAAUCAUAAAUAAAUAAGCAAACGUAUUCGAUCCCAGUAAUCUAAGAAUCUGUGUCUCUCCUGCUUAUCAUCUUAUCUUUUAUUUUAUUUGCCACGAUCUCCUGUAGCAUGCCCUUUGGUGAGGUGAAGGGGUACGGCUCAAGGAGAGAAAUAUAAACAAGCUCUGCUGCAGUGCUGCCGCACUCCUCACUCAUUAAUACCCAUUUCAACUGAUUCCAUAGCAUGCUGUCACACAUAGAGCUAAUUAAGGUACAAACUAUAUGUAUAGAGUAAACAAGUACGUACUUCCACCACUUUUAAUCCUCGCCUUUACUGCGGCCGCGUGUAUCUUUACGGCUAACGAAUGGAAAAUCUUUUUCAUGGAUUAAUUGCAAUCUUGGUUUCACUAAUGAGUUAUCUUCUUUAAGUUGAUGAUCUCAUAGAGAUUAUGAUCCACAAGAGAGACAUAUAUACAUACUCUCUACAUGUUGCUUUAUUUCCUCUUUUAACCUAAAUUUUAGGUUUCCUUGACAAUGGAUGUAUACAUGAAAGUAAAGUGGUGUACACAUAUGGUAUAGAAAGGGGGGAGAUAGUGAGACCUUAUCACUUGCUCUUUAUUCUAUUGGGCCAGAACGUGAUCCUUCUAGCAGCUGCCCUCACCACUCUCCAGUGAAGAUAAUGCAUUAAAAAUUCUCAGCAUUUCUCCAAUUUCAAUACCCCCCACACCUUUGCACAGCUCUAUAUAAGGACCUUCAACCUCCUAUCUCCAUAUCCCUCGCCCUUCUCUACCUCUCUUCUUCUUCUUCUUCUUCUUCUUCUUCCUCCAUCUUCUUAAGCCAUUCUCUAGCCAUAGGCUUUGGUGGGUUCAGCUGUUCUCCUUUCACCGGUGGCUUGACAUUAGGCCUAGGGAGUAUGGUGCAGCCAAGGAUGACUUGCCGACGCUCCUUGCGAAUUCGCGCUUGCGACUCGCGCUAGAGAUGAUUCUUAAGAAAGAUUUCGGCAAGUUGUCCUUGGCUACAUAAUGCUUCCUGGUCCUCAUGUUAGGCUUGUGGUGAUGAAGCAUUUCUAUGAGAUAUACAUAUGGUGCAUUCAGAAAUUAGCCCUUUAAUUAAUAUAAGGGUCUCUACAUUCGUCUGUUUAUUGCAGUAUUUAUUGGUUUGCUGAUCUAUUCACUUGCUUUUAUAUAAAUUUUCUCCAUUAUUUCAUCUUCAGAAGUUUGACAUCAGUUUCUGCUACAGACCUUUAAUUCCUGAUUCUUUUAUUUUGACUGCAUCAUAUGCUAAUUUAUAAAUAAUGAUUCUUUGUUCUACCUUCUUGGGAUUACAGUGAAUGCUCUAUCCAAUGGGAACUAACAUUCUAUUUGUUGAUCUAUGCACUUGCUUUUAUUUAUUUUUCCGCAUUAUUUUACCUUUGGGAGUUUGAUAGUUUCUGCUACACCCCUUUGCUGUUCUUUAAUUUUGACAGUGUCGUACGCUAAUUUAUAAAUAAUGAUUAUUUGUUCUAACUUCUUUGGUGUACAGUGAAUUAAUGGUCCAUAAAAUGUGAACUAACUUUCCAAUUUCUUGUUCUGUACAUAUAUCAAUCUAAUUUUUUGAUGAUUCUUUGUUCUCAUUUCUCUUUUCUACAUUCACCAAACUAUGGAGCACUUAAAAGUUAGAGGAGGAGCCCUCUACAUUUAUCUCCCAUGUAUUCUCUCAGGUACUUGCAAUGACCGAUGUUAUGAGUACAGCUUAUAGUGUACAACAACUCUUUUUUUGUGUGAAUGUCUCAGAGUAUGCACUUCCACACACGGCCAUUUCCCAUAAAUUAAAAGUGCAUCUGUUUCCUAUAUCUCUUGCAAGAUGUGAUGAUCCAAACUAAUUAAGUAGAGUUAUCAAGGAUUCUAGCAAUUGCUCUAAUUAAUUAAUCCCUCUGAUUAUCAAAUGAAUAUUAUGUAAGUAUACUCUAAUGUUUCUGAAUUUUUCAUGUCAUCAAUUAUAUAUCGGGAGCUUCACAUCAUCACAGUUCUUUAUUUAUAACUGUCUCAUUGCUUCAAGUCGCUUCGGGAUUGAUCGAAUCAAUCAAGUGUGGUUAAGUAUAAUGUUGAUUAAUUAGCAGUUCAAUUAUCUUUUUCUCAACACAGGAUUUACGGUUGCGCACAAAAAUUUUCUGUCAUAUGGUGUCUCGUACACUUUCCACGUAUUGAUUCUUUUUAUAUAAUCAUUAUCAGCCGUAGUUUUUUUUUUUUUUUUUUUUUUUUUUUGCUUUAUGAUUGUGCGCGGCAGUCACGCUCAAAUUUUUCAGUCAAUAUAUAUGUUUUCUCGUAUACUUUCCACGCAUUGAUUCUUACUUUUAAUCAUUAUUAUUAUCGCACUUAAUUAUUUCUCUUUUUUUUUUGCUUCGGUAUAGUACAUAAGCUCUGAAAUUUUUUCUUCGUUUUUUUCACAAUUGUGUUGCAUUGAUCGUAUUUUGUUACGGCACACUUUAAUCUAGUUAGGUUUUUUUCUGUUCUGAGUAGCUUAGGAAGUGUUCCCACAUCUCAUCUCUUUAGCAGUACACUUGUUGUCUGUGAAAACGAUUCAUCACAAGUGCUUUUGGGUUCCCCCCAUCUCAGAUGGGGUGAUAAAGAUGUGUGUUUUUGUGCCCGUGUGCGUGCGUGCAUGUCCAUUUGUGUUUGAGAGAGAGAGAGAGAGAGAGUGAGGGUACAGGCAAGUUGUGUGCCCUCGUAUCUUUGUGUCAGACAAGAUAAUCUGCCUCGGACCAAACUGCUUACUAUCUAUCAACAGUCCAAAACGGCAGCUCUUUUCCAGCCACAACUUGUGCUUAAUUAUGCCUUUUCAUCUAUGUACACAUAUAUACUUGCCCAUCCUGAGAAGGGUUUCAUUGCACCUCUCUUUCAUUUUUUAACUUAUGUCUUUUUGUGUCUUCAUAAAAUCAGGAACUGAAAGAUUAAUUCGUGAUAGUGUGUAUAUAUAUAUAUAUAUAUAUAGUCACACAAUGAUGAGUGAGAUUUAGAGUGAUACAUCAAUGUUAGACACUUGGUCUCAGUGGUUUCGGCAAGAAAGGGGGGGUUACAUCGAUCGAAAAUCCAAUUCUUCAUCCAAAUUGAGUAAGACCAAUUGUUUAAUAUAUCUGAUGUUUCGCCUGAAUCAGAUCUGACCUAGAUCCUCCUAGAUUAAUUAGCAACCAGAUAAUCAUUUUGCUUCUUGUAAUAUAUGUGAAAGAAAUAUUAAUUGAGUUCCUAUCCUAAUAUAGCAGUGAGAAUUAAUGAUAGGAAUUAAAACUUGGGUAAUUGAUGCAAUUAUCUUUAGUUAUCUAGUGUAAUGCAUAUAUAUAUGAACCCUAUAUUUGGUUUCUGGAAAUUAAUAGAUAUGAACUUUUUUGAACUACAUUGUAAUUUAACAGCAUGCUUUGAGCUUUUACGCUGUUAAAAUGAUUGGCAUGGGGAUCAAAACCAUUGGCGAAGCAGGAUCUACGCAGUGCGCUGUACGAAGACAUUUUUGUUGUAAUGCUGUGAGCUUAUGUUUAAGCCCUUAAUUAGUUAGGGCUACAAACAUUCCCUUGGACUCAAACAACUUCAUGUAAUUUUUCUGAUCAAUUUUAUGUACCUUUGGUUUCAUAUAUAUUGAUGUAUCUCAGUUGAAUAUAUAUUUUACUAGUAGUUAAA